GGCUACUGUAGCUCAGUUAGUCAAGCAUGAGACUCUUAAUCUCAGGGUUGUGGGUUCAAGCUCCCCAUUGGCCG